GCCUGUACCCUAGCCUGGUGAUGGAUCCUACGGCCCGAUUUGUGCCACGGUGAGGAUGUGCAGGGCUAAAAAGGCCAGGUACCAGCUCCCUGCUCCAGCUGCCCUGUGCGGGUGUGCGAGGAGCCCUGGAAAACCACGGCACAGGACCACAGCCUGACUGCCGAGGACAUGAGGAAAGUCAACAAGAACGCCUGCCUUUAAGACAUGACAGUUUCUGGUGGAUGUACAGCAUCUUUGAAUAAGGAAUCAGAGAAUUUGCAAGGAUUGAACUUCUAAAAUGUCUGGUGGAUAACAGCUGGAGACCUCAACCUAAGUACGGAGGGCACUACCAAUGUUGCUGUCUGAAUGCAUUUACCAUGUAAGUAAUUCAGCCUUAUGCCUGAACAGAGGAAUAUAACCAUCACAGCUUCGCUGUAAUGGAGCUGUGUGCUAUUUUCCAUUCAUUACAUCACUUCACUCUAUCUUUUAUCUGAUCAUCCCAGCAGAAGCAGAUCCUAACCUCUGCAGACUGUAUACUCCCUCUGAGGUGUUGCAGCUGCUAAGUGCUGAGUUAGCUGUGACUUUGUGAUCUUAAUUGUACAUCCUGAAUAUUGCAUUGGGCAGGUUUUCCAUGCUUAUAUACUCUCGGUUCCCUAUGUUUCACUGAAAUCAGUUAAGGAUCAUUCUUUUGUAUUGUCCCAAGUACAUCUGAAUUUUAAAAUAAAGGACACGGCAAGCGUUCUGUUUGAGUGGAAUAUACAUAGAUUGAAAGACCAUGCUCUGUUGCUGGGGACAAAAGUACUCUGCACAGAAUAUUUGGCUUCUGUUUUUAAUCAAUAUAAUACAGAAGUAUUCUUUUUAACCACGUUGGCUAGUGAGUGUAUUUUAUAGUGCUCCGUGAGUCUGAUUACAGCUCCAAAUUGGUUUACUCCCAGCUACGGUUUUCUACUAGACCACAAGAAACAAUGUUUUGUUAUUUUAAUUGCUAAGGUUGGAAAAUUUGCAGUUUAAUUUUAUGACUAAGUCAGUUCACUUCUAGCUUCUACAUAUGUAUUUUGCUCCUCGUUUCAUAUUAAAAUGUUUCAGACAAUGGUCUGAAAGGAGAAUGCUUUGAAGGACUAUGACAGAGAAGGGAAUGUGAGUCCUGGGUGUCGAGGGUAGGACACUGCCUUUGGGCUGAAUGGCAGAAUUUGCUGUGCAAAUUCUCUUGCUGGCAGCAUUUCCUUGGCACUGUUUGCUCAUUAGGGCUCUGCUUCCAUAGCACACUUUUAAACAUGAGGAAAAGUUCACCCCUGUGAAUGAACAAAGAGAAACAUAUAUUCAUCUAGAAGUCAAGCAUGUGCUCAUGAGUUGAACUAAAUUUGGGACAAUAAGAGAGAGAAUGCCUGUGCAUCUAAAAGUAUCGGAGAAGCUGUCCCGGGGAUUCACGUAUCUUUUGCUCAUUAUUUAUAUUAUUUCUGAGUGCUUCAGACAUUGCUGCUUGUUAUCCAACCCAGUGACAUUUCAUAGUUGUCUUCCUAAGUGCUGCUAAAAAGAAAAGCUGAGAUAUUGGGACACUAUUAUGUGCCAGAGAUUGAACUCCAUAUCUCCAGGACUGCAGAUGCAGAGAGCCCAGAAUAUAAAAAUGGGGAAAAAAUAAAGUUUUUUCUUCUUGUACAAGUGGU